UACGUAGGGUGCAAGCGUUGUCCGGAAUUAUUGGGCGUAAAGAGCUCGUAGGCGGUUCGUCGCGUCGGCUGUGAAAUCCCGGAGCUCAACUCCGGGUCUGCAGUCGAUACAGGCGGACUCGAGUUCGGCAGGGGAGACUGGAAUUCCUGGUGUAGCGGUGAAAUGCGCAGAUAUCAGGAGGAACACCGGUGGCGAAGGCGGGUCUCUGGGCCGUAACUGACGCUGAGGAGCGAAAGCGUGGGGAGCGAACAAG
rnacentral:rRNA from 1 species